CGAACGUAGAGAGAAAAAAGCAACAGCUUGCUGACUGGCUGAUUCGUUGAGGGACAAAAAGAAUUUUUAGAAAAAGACAGGGGAAAAGAUGUUUGGUAAAAAUAUUUUAAAAGCAACUUUUAGGAAUUUGAUAUAAGAAAAAUUGAGUUUUUGGAAAAGUAAGUAAUUCCAAGGUUUUUGUGACUUUUCCUAAAAUCCUUUUGCCUCUGAAAAGAUUAGGCAAACACCCCCGAAAGCAAAGAACGAAGGAAGACGAAAGCUCGCAGGCGCGCUUCGUCGGUUGAUUCGCGAGAGGGAGGAGUCUCUGGGUCGUAGAGACCGAAGGAAAGGAAUUAAGGGGGAGGUUUCGGGGCUGCCGGGUCGUGGGUGAGAAGGCGAAACACCCUCGUUGUUUGAGUGAACCGAAGAAGGGAAGAAGAACGAGGCAGUGAGGCUCGACAGGAAGACGAAGUGAAGUGCCAGAGGGAAGGGUCUCCGUUCUUUGAUCGGUCGUGUAGAAGAACUAGGGUAGAAGUCAAAACUGGUCUUCGAGUUCUUGACUGAUUGAAGGGAAGAAGAUGAACGGAAGCAGCCAUAUCAAGAUAUCGAUGGAUAGUGGCUAACAGGGAAGAAGAUGAAGCAAAAAUGUGCUGAAAUUAGUGGUAAAGAAGAAUGAUCGAAAGAGGACUGUUGUUCUCUUGGUUUCAGCUUCCAUUAAGAAAAAAAAUUACAAACACGUUUUCUUUUGUGUGUAAGCUCUUUUGUUCUUGUUUUGAGAGAAAUCGAUGGAGGGUGACAAGAUUGUUUCGUUUGGUGUUUGAUUUUUGACAGGGGAAAGAACGAGGGGGAGGAGGAGGGAUGUACAGUCGCUUCUUCUUUGGCCGAAGAUCCAUAGACGCAAAGGAAAGAUAUCUUCUUUUUAAAUAGAUUUCAAUGUACUUUUAUUUGAGUUUGAAGAUCAAAGAAGAUCUGAUCGUAUCACUUUAUUUUACAUGAUUUUGAUUGUACAGAAUUUGGCUGUGAAGGGAAAGAGUGUUUGUGUGUAAAAUUGGAUGAGAAAGAGUGUAAGGAAAUUUCAGUGUGAUUUUUGUAAAAGAUGAAAAGUGGAAGAAACUAUUUACUUA